rnacentral:sRNA from 1 species
UAUGCGUCAAGGGCGCGAUGAUGACGGC